CUCAUUUUGAAAUAAAUGUGAGCUCGGGAGUAAUGAGGAGUGAUGAAAGGAUUUAUUCAUCGCUCCUGAGCUCACAUUUAUCCCAUAAUGG
rfam:Glycine soja cultivar W05 scaffold340_26, whole genome shotgun sequence.